rnacentral:piRNA from 1 species
UAAUAAGGGGGCGCUAUAUCAUAGCAGAGC